CCUUACGGGGAAAGAUUUAUCGCCGAAAGAUCGGCCCGCGUCUGAUUAGCUAGUUGGUGAGGUAAUGGCUCACCAAGGCGACGAUCAUAGCUGGUCUGAGAGGAUGAUCAGCCACAUUGGGACUGAGACACGGCCCAAACUCCUACGGGAGGCAGCAGUGGGGAAUAUUGGACAAUGGGCGCAAGCCUGAUCCAGCCAUGCCGCGUGAGUGAUGAAGGCCCUAGGGUUGUAAAGCUCUUUUGUGCGGGAAGAUAAUGACGGUACCGCAAGAAUAAGCCCCGGCUAACUUCGUGCCAG
rnacentral:rRNA from 1 species